rnacentral:rRNA from 1 species
AAUCAACGCUGGCGGCGUGCCUCAGACAUGCAAGUCGAACGAUUAAAGCUCUCUUCGGAGAGUGUAUAGAGUGGCGCACGGGUGAGUAACACGUAAGUAAUCUACCUUUGAGUGGGGAAUAACAGUCGGAAACGACUGCUAAUACCGCAUAAUGCAGCGGCAUCGCAAGAUGACAGUUGUUAAAGGAGCAAUCCGCUUAAAGAGGAGCUUGCGGCAGAUUAGCUAGUUGGUAAGGUAAUGGCUUACCAAGGCUACGAUCUGUAUCCGGUCUAAGAGGACGGUCGGACACACUGACACUGAAUAACGGGUCAGACUCCUACGGGAGGCAGCAGUCGGGAAUUUUGGGCAAUGGGCGAAAGCCUGACCCAGCAACGCCGCGUGAAGGAUGAAGUAUUUCGGUAUGUAAACUUCGAAAGAAUGGGAAGAAUAAAUGACGGUACCAUUUAUAAGGUCCGGCUAACUACGUGCCAGCGCCGC